rnacentral:rRNA from 1 species
UACAUAGGGGGCAAGCGUUGUUCGGAAUUACUGGGCGUAAAGGGCGCGUAGGCGGCCUUCUAAGUCGAACGUGAAAUCCCCGGGCUCAACCCGGGAACUGCGUCCGAUACUGGAAGGCUUGAAUCCGGGAGAGGGAUGUGGAAUUCCAGGUGUAGCGGUGAAAUGCGUAGAUAUCGAGAGGAACACCUGCGGCGAAGGCGGGUUGCUGGGCUGACACGUGACGCUGAGGCGCGAAAGCUAGGGGAGCGAACGGG